GGAGCUGCGAGGCGGAGAGGCGCGGGAGGCGCGCGGAGCCCAGGCCGAUCCCGUGCGCGCGCCGCCAUGCCCUUGGCCUUCUGCGGCACCGAGAACCACUCGGCCGCCUACCGGGUGGACCAGGGCGUCCUCAACAACGGCUGCUUCGUGGACGCGCUCAACGUGGUGCCGCAUGUCUUCCUGCUCUUCAUCACCUUCCCCAUCCUCUUCAUCGGAUGGGGCAGCCAGAGCUCCAAGGUGCACAUUCACCACAGCACCUGGCUGCACUUCCCGGGGCACAACCUGCGCUGGGUCCUCACCUUCAUCUUGCUCUUUGUCCUCGUGUGUGAGAUCGCUGAGGGGAUCCUGUCCGAUGGGGUGACAGAAUCCCGCCACCUCCACUUGUACAUGCCAGCUGGGAUGGCGUUCAUGGCUGCCGUCACCUCUGUGGUCUACUAUCAUAACAUUGAGACCUCCAACUUCCCCAAGCUUUUGAUCGCUCUGCUCAUCUACUGGACCUUGGCCUUCAUCACUAAGACCAUCAAGUUUGUCAAGUUCUACGACCACGCCAUCGGCUUCUCUCAGCUACGCUUCUGCCUCACGGGGCUUCUGGUGAUUCUGUAUGGAAUGUUGCUGCUUGUGGAGGUCAACGUCAUCAGGGUGAGGAGGUACAUCUUCUUCAAGACACCAAGGGAAGUAAAGCCCCCCGAGGACCUGCAGGAUCUGGGUGUGCGCUUUCUACAGCCCUUUGUUAACCUGCUGUCAAAAGGGACCUAUUGGUGGAUGAAUGCCUUCAUCAAGACAGCCCACAAGAAGCCCAUCGACCUGCGGGCCAUCGGCAAGCUGCCCAUCGCCAUGAGAGCCCUCACCAACUAUCAGCGACUCUGCGUGGCCUUCGACGCUCAGGCGCGGAAGGACACACAGAGCCCACAGGGUGCCCGGGCCAUCUGGAGGGCUCUGUGCCAUGCCUUUGGGAGACGCCUGAUCCUCAGCAGCACGUUCCGCAUCCUGGCUGACCUGCUGGGCUUCGCUGGGCCACUCUGUAUCUUUGGGAUCGUGGACCACCUGGGGAAGGAGAACCAUGUCUUCCAGCCCAAGACACAGUUUCUCGGGGUUUACUUCGUCUCGUCCCAAGAGUUCCUUGGCAAUGCCUACGUCCUGGCCGUGCUUCUGUUCCUCGCCCUCCUGCUGCAGAGGACGUUCCUGCAAGCCUCGUACUAUGUAGCCAUCGAAACCGGGAUUAACCUGAGAGGAGCGAUCCAGACCAAGAUUUAUAAUAAAAUCAUGCACCUGUCCACCUCCAACCUGUCAAUGGGGGAAAUGACUGCUGGGCAGAUCUGCAACCUGGUGGCCAUCGACACAAACCAGCUCAUGUGGUUUUUCUUCUUAUGCCCAAACCUUUGGGCUAUGCCAGUCCAGAUCAUUGUGGGCGUGAUCCUUCUCUACUACAUCUUGGGGGUCAGUGCCUUGAUUGGCGCAGCUGUCAUCAUCCUGCUGGCUCCUGUACAGUACUUUGUGGCCACCAAGCUCUCCCAGGCACAACGGAGCACCUUGGAAUAUUCUAAUGAGAGGCUGAAACAGACCAAUGAGAUGCUCCGGGGCAUCAAGCUGCUCAAGCUGUAUGCGUGGGAGAACAUCUUCUGCUCAAGGGUGGAGAUGACGCGCAGGAAGGAGAUGACCAGCCUCAGGGCCUUCGCUGUCUACACCUCCAUCUCCAUCUUCAUGAACACGGCCAUCCCCAUUGCCGCCGUCCUCAUCACCUUUGUGGGCCACGUCAGCUUCUUCAAAGAGUCGGACUUCUCGCCCUCAGUGGCCUUUGCCUCCCUCUCUCUCUUCCACAUCCUGGUCACACCACUGUUCCUGCUGUCUAGCGUGGUUCGGUCCACUGUCAAAGCCCUAGUGAGCGUGCAAAAACUGAGUGAGUUCCUGUCCAGUGCAGAGAUCCGUGAGGAGCAGUGUGCCCCCCGAGAGCCUGCACCCCAAGGCCAAGCCGGCAAGUACCAGGCAGUGCCCCUCAAGGUUGUGAACCGCAAACACCCAGCCCGGGAAGAGGUUCGCGACCUCUUAGGCCCACUGCAGAGGCUGACCCCCAGCAUGGAUGGGGAUGCUGACAACUUCUGUGUCCAGAUCAUCGGCGGCUUCUUCACCUGGACCCCCGAUGGAAUCCCCACUCUGUCCAACAUCACCAUCCGUAUCCCCCGAGGCCAGCUGACCAUGAUUGUGGGGCAGGUGGGCUGCGGCAAGUCCUCGCUCCUCCUCGCCACCCUGGGGGAGAUGCAGAAGGUGUCAGGGGCUGUCUUCUGGAACAGCAGCCUUGCAGACAGCGAGGGAGAGGACCCCAGCAGCCCAGAGCGGGAGACAGCGGCUGACUCGGACGUCAGGAGCAGAGGCCCCGUGGCCUACGCAUCUCAGAAACCAUGGCUGCUAAAUGCCACUGUGGAGGAGAACAUCACCUUCGAGAGUCCCUUCAAUAAGCAGCGGUACAAGAUGGUCAUCGAAGCCUGCUCCCUGCAGCCGGACAUAGACAUCCUGCCUCACGGAGACCAGACUCAGAUUGGGGAACGGGGUAUCAACUUGUCUGGUGGUCAGCGUCAGCGAAUCAGUGUGGCCCGGGCCCUCUACCAGCACACCAAUGUUGUCUUCCUGGAUGACCCUUUCUCAGCUUUGGAUAUCCAUCUGAGUGACCACCUGAUGCAGGCCGGCAUCCUUGAGCUGCUCCGGGAUGACAAGAGGACAGUAGUCCUGGUGACGCACAAGCUACAGUACCUACCUCAUGCAGACUGGAUCAUUGCUAUGAAGGACGGCACCAUUCAGAGGGAGGGGACACUCAAGGACUUCCAGAGGUCUGAGUGCCAGCUCUUUGAGCAUUGGAAGACCCUCAUGAACCGGCAAGACCAGGAGCUGGAGAAGGAGACAGUCAUGGAGAGGAAAGCCUCAGAGCCAUCUCAGGGCCUGCCCCGUGCCAUGUCCUCCAAAGAUGGCUUUCUACUGGAUGAGGAAGAGGAGGAAGAGGAGGCGGCCGAGAGCGAGGAAGACGACAACCUAUCGUCGGUGCUGCAUCAGCGAGCCAAGAUCCCGUGGCGAGCCUGCACCAAGUAUUUGUCCUCUGCUGGCAUUCUGCUCCUGUCCCUGCUCGUCUUCUCCCAGCUCUUCAAGCACAUGGUCUUGGUGGCCAUCGAUUAUUGGCUGGCCAAGUGGACUGACAGUGCCCUGGUCCUGAGCCCUGCUGCCAGGAACUGUUCCCUCAGCCAGGAAUGUGCCCUGGACCAAUCUGUCUAUGCCAUGGUCUUCACCGUGCUCUGCAGCCUGGGCAUCGUGCUGUGCCUUGUCACCUCUGUCACUGUGGAGUGGACGGGACUGAAGGUGGCCAAGAGGCUGCACCGCAGCCUGCUCAACCGCAUCAUCCUGGCCCCCAUGAGGUUCUUUGAGACCACACCCCUGGGGAGUAUCCUCAACAGAUUUUCAUCUGACUGUAACACCAUUGACCAGCACAUCCCGUCCACGCUGGAGUGUCUGAGCCGGUCCACCCUGCUCUGUGUCUCUGCCCUGGCUGUCAUCUCCUACGUCACGCCUGUGUUCCUCGUGGCCCUCCUACCUCUAGCUGUCGUGUGCUACUUCAUCCAGAAGUACUUCCGAGUGGCAUCCAGGGACCUGCAGCAGCUGGAUGACACGACGCAGCUCCCUCUGCUCUCACACUUCGCUGAAACUGUGGAAGGACUCACCACCAUCCGUGCCUUCAGGUAUGAGGCCCGGUUCCAGCAGAAGCUUCUAGAAUAUACUGACUCCAACAACAUCGCCUCCCUCUUCCUCACGGCAGCCAACAGGUGGCUGGAAGUCCGCAUGGAGUACAUCGGAGCGUGUGUGGUGCUCAUCGCGGCUGCCACCUCCAUCUCCAACUCUCUGCACAGGGAGCUCUCUGCCGGCCUGGUGGGCCUGGGCCUCACCUAUGCCUUGAUGGUCUCCAACUACCUCAACUGGAUGGUGAGGAACCUGGCGGACAUGGAGAUCCAACUGGGAGCUGUGAAGCGGAUCCACGCACUCCUGAAAACCGAGGCAGAGAACUAUGAGGGCCUCCUGGCACCGUCGUUGAUCCCCAAGAACUGGCCAGACCAAGGGAAGAUCCAAAUUCAGAACCUGAGUGUGCGCUAUGACAGCUCCCUGAAGCCUGUGCUGAAGCACGUCAAUGCCCUCAUCUCCCCAGGACAGAAGAUUGGGAUCUGCGGCCGCACAGGCAGCGGGAAGUCCUCCUUCUCUCUGGCCUUUUUCCGAAUGGUGGAUAUGUUUGAAGGGCGCAUCAUCAUCGAUGGCAUUGACAUCGCCAAGCUGCCGCUGCACACACUACGCUCUCGCCUGUCCAUCAUCCUACAGGACCCCGUCCUCUUCAGUGGCACCAUCCGAUUCAACCUGGACCCAGAGAAGAAAUGCUCAGACAGCACCCUGUGGGAGGCUCUGGAGAUCGCCCAGCUGAAGCUGGUGGUGAAGGCGCUGCCCGGAGGCCUGGGUGACUGAUCCUCGCACCAGAUGGGUUUGGCGGGGCAGGCUUCCCACCCAUAGCUAAGACGAGCCCCGAGUUUGGAGCCCCACAUCUAGCUAGAACUCAGUGACGGUGUAGUCCCGCCUUUCACCAUGCAGGGUUCAGAGGUCAAAACAGUUUGCCUCUGGUCACACAACUCACCUAGCUCAGAGUCUGGCACAGAGGGACGUUCAGGGUCCCUGGGAGAUAGAUUGCAGGUCCCCCACACCACAGUGUAUCUUCAGGCCUGCCCUGGGGGAGUCAUAGUGGACACAGCUACAAGACAUUCAUCGUACAGCCUAUGGAGAAGAUGCUGCUCCAGUCCAGGAUGCCAUCAUCACAGAAGGAGGGGAGAAUUUUAGCCAGGGCCAGAGGCAGCUGUUCUGCCUAGCUCGGGCCUUUGUGAGGAAGACGAGCAUCUUCAUCAUGGACGAAGCAACU